AGAGAGCAAGAGACAGAUAGAAAAAAAGGUGGAGAGAGAGAGACCAAGACAGAGCAAGAGACAGAUAGAAAAAAGGUGGAGAGAGAGACAUCAAGACAGAGAGCAAGAGACAGAUAGAAAAAAGGUGGAGAGAGAGACAUCAAGACAGAGAGCAAGAGACAGAUAGAAAAAAGGUGGAGAGAGAGAGACCAAGACAGAGAGCAAGAGACAGAUAGAAAAAAGGUGGAGAGAGAGAGACCAAGAGACAGAUAGAAAAAAGGUGGAGAGAGAGAGACAUCAAGACAGAGCAAGAAGCAGGAGAGAGAGAGACAGAAAGAGAAAAAAAGAAAGACUGAGGGAGAGCGGUAGACACCAAGAUGUAGAGAGCAAGAGAGAGAUUUAAAAAUAGUGGCAGAAAUCAUGGCUGCUCCUCUCAAACCCGC
ensembl:lncRNA